rnacentral:rRNA from 1 species
CGUAGGGUGCGAGCGUUAAUCGGAAUUACUGGGCGUAAAGUGUGCGCAGGCGGCAGAGCAAGUCGAGUGUGAAAGCCCCGGGCUUAACUUGGGAAUUGCGCUCGAAACUACUUUGCUGGAGUGUGGCAGAGGAAGGUGGAAUUCCACGUGUAGCGGUGAAAUGCGUAGAGAUGUGGAGGAACACCAAUGGCGAAGGCAGCCUUCUGGGCCAACACUGACGCUCAUGCACGAAAGCGUGGGGAGCAAACAGGAUUAGAUACCCUGGUAGUCCACGCCCUAAACGAUGACGACUAGUUGUUGGAGGAGUUAAAUCCUUUAGUAACGCAGCUAACGCGCGAAGUCGUCCGCCUGGGGAGUACGGUCGCAAGAUUAA